rnacentral:rRNA from 1 species
CAAGUAAUUAAGUGCAUGUGGUGGAUGCCUUGGCAGUCAGAGGCGAUGAAAGACGUGAUAGCCUGCGAAAAGCUCCGGGGAGGCGGCAAAUAUCCUUUGAUCCGGAGAUGUCUGAAUGGGGGAACCCACCUACUUUAAGGUAGGUAUUGCAACAUGAAUACAUAGUGUUGCAAGGCGAACGAGGGGAAGUGAAACAUCUCAGUACCCUUAGGAAAAGAAAUCAAUUGAGAUUCCCUCAGUAGCGGCGAGCGAACGGGGAUCAGCCCAUUAAGUUAUGUGUGUUUUAGUGGAACGCUCUGGGAAGUGCGAACGUAGAGGGUGAUAUUCCCGUACACGAAAGGGCACACAUAAUGAUGACGAGUAGGGCGAGGCACGUGAAACCUUGUCUGAAUAUGGGGGGACCAUCCUCCAAGGCUAAAUACUCCUGACUGACCGAUAGUGAACCAGUACCGUGAGGGAAAGGCGAAAAGAACCCCUGUGAGGGGAGUGAAAUAGAUCCUGAAACCGCAUGCAUACAAGCAGUGGGAGCACCUUCGUGGUGUGACUGCGUACCUUUUGUAUAAUGGGUCAGCGACUUAUAUUCAGUAGCGAGGUUAACCGUAUAGGGGAGCCGUAGAGAAAUCGAGUCUUAAUAGGGCGUUUAGUUGCUGGGUAUAGACCCGAAACCAGGCGAUCUAUCCAUGAGCAGGUUGAAGGUUGGGUAACACUAACUGGAGGACCGAACCCACUGUCGUUGAAAAGCCAGGGGAUGACUUGUGGAUAGGGGUGAAAGGCUAAUCAAGCCUGGUGAUAGCUGGUUCUCCCCGAAAGCUAUUUAGGUAGCGCCUCGGACGAAUACCAUAGGGGGUAGAGCACUGUUUCGGCUAGGGGGUCAUCCCGACUUACCAAACCGAUGCAAACUCCGAAUACCUAUGAGUACUAUCCGGGAGACAGACUGCGGGUGCUAACGUCCGUAGUCAAGAGGAAAACAAUCCAGACCGCCAGCUAAGGCCCCAAAAUCAUAGUUAAGUGGGAAACGAUGUGGGAAGGCAUAGACAGCUAGGAGGUUGGCUUAGAAGCAGCCACCCUUUAAAGAAAGCGUAAUAGCUCACUAGUCGAGUCGGCCUGCGCGGAAGAUGUAACGGGGCUAAAACUAUGUGCCGAAGCUGCGGAUGUAUACUUUGUAUACGUGGUAGGGGAGCGUUCUGUAAGCCGAUGAAGGUGUGUUGAGAAGCAUGCUGGAGGUAUCAGAAGUGCGAAUGCUGACGUGAGUAACGACAAAACGGGUGAAAAACCCGUUCGCCGAAAGACCAAGGGUUCCAGUCCAACGUUAAUCGGGGCUGGGUGAGUCGACCCCUAAGGCGAGGCCGAAAGGCGUAGUCGAUGGGAAAAUGGUUAAUAUUCCAUUACUUCUGUGUAAUGCGAUGAGAGGACGGAGAAGGCUAAAUCAGCCUGGCGUUGGUUGUCCAGGUGAAAGGAUGUAGGCAUGUAUCUUAGGCAAAUCCGGGGUACUCUAUGCUGAGAUCUGAUAGCAAGCUGUACUUGUACAGCGAAGUGGUUGAUGCCAUGCUUCCAGGAAAAGUCUCUAAGCUUCAGUUACACAGGAAUCGUACCCGAAACCGACACAGGUGGUCAGGUCGAGUAGACCAAGGCGCUUGAGAGAACUCUGCUGAAGGAACUAGGCAAAAUGGUACCGUAACUUCGGGAGAAGGUACGCUGUUGUUGGUGAUGGAACUCGCUUCCUGAGCUGACGACAGCCGCAGAAACCAGGCCGCUGCAACUGUUUAUUAAAAACAUAGCACUCUGCAAACACGAAAGUGGACGUAUAGGGUGUGAUGCCUGCCCGGUGCUGGAAGGUUAAUUGAUGGGGUUAGCGUAAGCGAAGCUCUUGAUCGAAGCCCCAGUAAACGGCGGCCGUAACUAUAACGGUCCUAAGGUAGCGAAAUUCCUUGUCGGGUAAGUUCCGACCUGCACGAAUGGCAUAAUGAUGGCGGCGCUGUCUCCAGCAGAGGCUCAGUGAAAUCGAAAUCGCUGUGAAGAUGCAGUGUACCCGCGGCUAGACGGAAAGACCCCGUGAACCUUUACUGCAGCUUGACACUGAACUUUGACCUUACUUGUGUAGGAUAGGUGGGAGGCUUUGAAGCUGGAACGCUAGUUCCAGUGGAGCCGUCCUUGAAAUACCACCCUGGUAAUGUUGAGGUUCUAACUCUGUCCCGUGAUCCGGGACGAGGACCGUGUCUGGUGGGUAGUUUGACUGGGGCGGUCUCCUCCUAAAGAGUAACGGAGGAGUACGAAGGUGCGCUCAGCGUGGUCGGAAAUCACGCGUAGAGUAUAAAGGCAAAAGCGCGCUUAACUGCGAGACCCACAAGUCGAGCAGGUACGAAAGUAGGUCUUAGUGAUCCGGUGGUUCUGUAUGGAAGGGCCAUCGCUCAACGGAUAAAAGGUACUCUGGGGAUAACAGGCUGAUACCGCCCAAGAGUUCAUAUCGACGGCGGUGUUUGGCACCUCGAUGUCGGCUCAUCUCAUCCUGGGGCUGAAGCAGGUCCCAAGGGUAUGGCUGUUCGCCAUUUAAAGAGGUACGCGAGCUGGGUUUAGAACGUCGUGAGACAGUUCGGUCCCUAUCUACCGUGGGCGCUGGAAAUUUGAGAGGAUCUGCUCCUAGUACGAGAGGACCAGAGUGGACGAACCUCUGGUGUACCGGUUGUGACGCCAGUCGCAUCGCCGGGUAGCUAUGUUCGGAAGGGAUAACCGCUGAAAGCAUCUAAGCGGGAAGCCUACCUCAAGAUAAGAUUUCCCUAGGACUUUAUGUCCUCUAAAGAGCCGUUCGAGACUAGGACGUUGAUAGGUUGGAUGUGGAAGUAUAGUGAUAUGUGAAGCUGACCAAUACUAAUUGCUCGUGAGGCUUGACUA